UGAUGCAUAGCCGAGUUGAGAGACUGAUCGGCCACAUUGAGACUGAGACACGGCCCAAAACUCCUACGGGGAGGCAGCAGUAGGGAAUCUUCCACAAUGGACGAAAGUCUGAUGGAGCAACGCCGCGUGAGUGAAGAAGGUUUUCGGAUCGUAAAAGCUCUGUUGUUGGUGAAGAAGGAUAGAGGUAGUAACUGGCCUUUAUUUGACGGUAAUCAACCAGAAGUCACGGCUAACUACGUGCCAGCAGCCGCGGUAAU
rnacentral:rRNA from 1 species